rnacentral:tRNA from 1 species
GCCGGGAUGGCCUAAUCGGGUACAGCGUCGCCCCGGUCAGGCGAAGAUUGUGGGUUCAAUCCCCGCUCCUGGCC